GACGAACGCUGGCGGCGUGCCUAAUACAUGCAAGUCGAGCGAGACUCUUCGGAGUCUAGCGGCGGACGGGUGAGUAACACGUGGGCAACCUGCCUGUAAGACUGGGAUAACACCGGGAAACCGGUGCUAAUACCGGAUAAUCCUUUUCCUCUCAUGAGGAAAAGCUGAAAGUCGGUUUCGGCUGACACUUACAGAUGGGCCCGCGGCGCAUUAGCUAGUUGGUGAGGUAACGGCUCACCAAGGCGACGAUGCGUAGCCGACCUGAGAGGGUGAUAGGCCACGCUGGGACGGGGACACGGCCCAGACUCCUACGGGAGGCAGCAGUAGGGAAUCUUCCACAAUGGACGAAAGUCUGAUGGAGCAACGCCGCGUGAGCGAUGAAGGCCUUCGGGUCGUAAAGCUCUGUUGUUAGGGAAGAACAAGUACCGGAGUAACUGCCGGUACCUUGACGGUACCUAACCAGAAAGCCACGGCUAACUACGUGCCAGCCGCCGCAGUAACAC
rnacentral:rRNA from 1 species